CACUGAACUGACUUUCGAUACCGAAAGUGCCAUUGAACGCACUCGCGCAAUGACAGCAGGAGAAUUCGAAGAUGCGUUCGAAUGUGUAGGUGAGAAGUGAGUUCAGGAGUAUAGGCGGGAAAAAUAAAUCGAGAUAGAUUGUAAACAAAACAAAGAUUGUGGAAUUUCAAUGCAAGUAGUAUCGUUUGGUGAUCAGAAGAAAAUUAAAGCUAAGUUCGCAGUGGUUAUUGUUGAGUUUGAAUACUUACCCUAAAUUUACGUGCUAAGGCAUUUGCAACUUUAGUACGAAGGCGCGAAGUGAAACUGCGCAGGGAAGUUGAGCACAGGCUACAAUACCACGCAACGAAGCGUUUUCAAUUAGGAAUCGCCAGAUUGAACCGAAAUCGAAUUGAGGUGUAGGGACUAGCAGCGGAAAAUAGCUGGAAUCGAGACGGAAGUAAGCGAUAGGAAGUUCACUAAACG